rnacentral:rRNA from 1 species
AUUGAACGCUGGCGGCAUGCCUUACACAUGCAAGUCGAACGGCAGCACGGGAGCAAUCCUGGUGGCGAGUGGCGAACGGGUGAGUAAAGUAUCGGAACGUGCCCAGUCGUGGGGGAUAACGUAGCGAAAGUUACGCUAAUACCGCAUACGAUCUAUGGAAGAAAGCGGGGGAUCGCAAGACCUCGCGCGAUUGGAGCGGCCGAUAUCAGAUUAGGUAGUUGGUGGGGUACAGGCUCACCAAGCCGACGAUCUGUAGCUGGUCUGAGAGGACGACCAGCCACACUGGGACUAAGACACGGCCCAGACUCCUACGGGAGGCAGCAGUGGGGAAUUUUGGACAAUGGGCGAAAGCCUGAUCCAGCCAUGCCGCGUGCAGGAUGAAGGCCUUCGGGUUGUAAACUGCUUUUGUACGGAACGAAAAGGUUUGGCCUAAUAAGCUGAGCUCAUGACGGUACCGUAAGAAUAAGCACCGGCUAACUACGUGCCAGCCGCCGCAGUAA